rnacentral:tRNA from 1 species
UAGAUAGAAGUUUGUUGGCUUAAACACUUAACUGUUAAUUAAGUUUUUGUAGGAUCGAGGCCUACCUAUUUAG